UAAGAAGAUCAAGUGCCUAAUAAUGGCUCCUGCAUCUAAAGGAUGUUUGCAGUUGUUACUGGUACAAAGAAACGAAUCUGGCAUGAGAUUAUUCGAAGAUUGGCUCUUGAAUGUGUGACUGUCGUGCUAACAGCUAGAGAUGAAAAGAUAGGAUCAAAUACAGUAUCAUUGCUUGUCGAAUGUGGGUUGGAGAAUGUCUUUUUCUACUAGCUUGAUGUUCAAGAUCAAUCUAGUGUUGAUUCCUUAGCUAAUAUGUCCAAACCCAAUUUGGGUGGGUUGAUAUCUUGGAUGGUCGACCAUGCGAUAGAAUGUUUACCGCUGGGAGCAAUCAGGAAGAAAUGCUCUGACAUGAAGAGAAUCAUAACCUACGCAGAAUCAGCAUUGAU